AUGGAGCAAAAAGCCCAUCCAGAAGCAUCUUUUUUUAGCAAGGGUAAAAGAAGUGGCGCUUCCUCUCAAAACGAAAUCUCCUUCUGUGAGUUCUAUACGGCGGCACUCUUCUCCGUCUCGCUCUCCGUCGCGAUUUUGAAGCUCCUCUCACCCCCUAACUCUUAUUCCAUCUAUCAUCUCCGUUACUUCAAUGUCUCACGAUCAUUUUUUCAAUCUCUCUCAUCACUGUCAUCAAUUUCCUCCGUCUCAACUGCUUCUCUGCAGAUCACCAUAUAA